AGAAGGGGAGGAAAUUGGAAUCCAGCAGCGGCGAGCAGCAGCUGGGCGGUCACAUCUGGGAAUGGAAAGCCGACCUCCCCCUCCUUCUCCUCCUCCACGUCCUCCUCUUCUCUCACCCAGGAUCACUUCCGAAACCACUUGGCAUUCAGCUCCUGCCUCGGCCAGAGGUUUCAUUUUUAACUGAAUAUUUACGAAAGCUGGAAGUGUGCGAGGGGGGGUGGGGUGGGGUGGAAAUAGCGGCUGCUUCUUUUCCAGGGAUUUAUUUAAUGGGGAUGUGUUCAAGGCAAGAGCGAAUUCAGAAGGAUAUCGACGUCGUGAUCCAGAAGUCCAGAGCUGAGGACUGCCUGUUUGCAGAUAUACCAGAAGAACAUGACUCGAUGAGUUUUGCCCUAAUGUUAACAAGUUAUUUUGAACUUAAGAUCGGCCCUUUUUUCAAAGAAGAGCAGUUGGAACAACAAGAGCUGUUUAGUUGUACCCUUGGAAUCCAUGGAAAUCCUGGGUAGGGAGGCUCCAGUACCACCAACUGGAGAGACUGCGGAUGCCUAGUAGCUAGUACUGGCUGUUGUGUAGGCUUUGUCCACUUUGACAAAUUGAAGACGGGGACUCGACUCACCUUCGCCAGCCACGGGAGGACCUCCAGACGAGGACCAGACUCGCCGCCUUUCUUUCCCGUCAGAAAGGGAUCCCUUGCGGACAGGACCGAAUGGCCCCUAAGGCUUCUCUGCAGACCCAACCGAAACAGGCCUGAAGCUCCAGGAGGGCGAGAGGAUCCUCUUUGAGCGAAACCAGCCUUCUGCCUGGCUGGCCCUGGUCAACACACUGGGAAGAGGCCGAUUUGGCGGACAGAAAGGAAGAAAAUACCUAAAG
rnacentral:lncRNA from 1 species